rnacentral:lncRNA from 1 species
GGGAACACAUCACCAAUGAUAUCUGCAAGAGGAUGUUCCCAUGGUCAAGCUUGUGACCGAAAACAAAGCACUGUUGGGAGAUAGCCCGGAUUAUCAUAGAUUUCCCUUUCAAAUAAAAGCAAGAACAUUUUUUUAGGAUAAGUUUUCCUUAGGGUAUUUUUCGUCGCUGACCAUUUCAGGUGGAUAUCAAGAAGAAUGAUGGAUAGGUGAUGCCUAAGAACAUGGGAGCUACAUCGACUACAACACCUCGGUAAGUUUUGUUGAGGGAACGAUUUAGGAAGCUUGAACUCCACACACUUGAAUUGUGUUGCCCAACAAUCCAAACUCCAAGUGUGGGGGAGGUAUGUGAGUAUCUCGAGUAAAGUUCCUCCCGUGCCAAAUCUAAUCUUGGUUUGGAGAUGGUGUUGGUUCUUGCAUCUUGCCCCAUAAAAAAAGAGGAGUUACCAUGGCGACGAUUCAAAAUUAUUCAUCACCCAAACACCAUGGUAAGUACCCUCAGGUACGUCCUGCUUUUGACUUUAAACAAAGCCCUUCCGAGAGGUAGCCCGAACUUCACCAAUCUUAUACUUAUGUUUAUCUACCUCUUGAAUAUAGCUUGAUCAUGCUUUCAUGCUUCCUUUAUCU